AUUGAUUUUAUGCUUGCAUAAAUGAUUUUUGGAUUCGGAGCGAGUGGCGAACUGGUGAGUAACACGUGGGUAACCUGCCCCGAAGCGGGGGAUAACAUUUGGAAACAAGUGCUAAUACCGCAUAAUUAGUUGGAACCGCAUGGUUCCAACUUGAAAGAUGGCUCUGCUAUCACUUUGGGAUGGACCCGCGCCGUAUUAGUUAGUUGGUGAGAUAAAAGCCCACCAAGACGAUGAUACGUAGCCGACCUGAGAGGGUAAUCGGCCACAUUGGGACUGAGACACGGCCCAGACUCCUACGGGAGGCAGCAGUAGGGAAUCUUCCACAAUGGACGAAAGUCUGAUGGAGCAACGCCGCGUGAGUGAUGAAGGUUUUCGGAUCGUAAAACUCUGUUGUUAAAGAAGAACAAGUGUUAGAGUAACUGUUAACACUUUGACGGUAUUUAACCAGAAAGCCACGGCUAACUACGUGCCAGCAGCCGCGGUAAUACGUAGGUGGCAAGCGUUGUCCGGAUUUAUUGGGCGUAAAGCGAGCGCAGGCGGUUUCGUAAGUCUGCUGUGAAAGCCCUCAGCUCAACUGAGGAAGUGCAGUGGAAACUACAAAACUUGAGUACAGAAGAGGAAAGUGGAACUCCAUGUGUAGCGGUGAAAUGCGUAGAUAUAUGGAAGAACACCAGUGGCGAAGGCGGCUUUCUGGUCUGUUACUGACGCUGAGGCUCGAAAGCAUGGGUAGCGAACAGGAUUAGAUACCCUGGUAGUCCAUGCCGUAAACGAUGAAUACUAGGCGUUGGAGGGUUUCCGCCCUUCAGUGCCGCAGCUAACGCAUUAAGUAUUCCGCCUGGGGAGUACGACCGCAAGGUUGAAACUCAAAGGAAUUGACGGGGGCCCGCACAAGUGGUGGAGCAUGUGGUUUAAUUUGAUGCUACGCGAAGAACCUUACCAGCUCUUGACAUCUUCUGCCAACCCAAGAGAUUGGGCGUUCCCUUCGGGGACAGAAUGACAGGUGGUGCAUGGUUGUCGUCAGCUCGUGUCGUGAGAUGUUGGGUUAAGUCCCGCAACGAGCGCAACCCUUAUUAUUAGUUGCCAGCAUUUAGUUGGGCACUCUAGUGAGACUGCCGGUGAUAAA
rnacentral:rRNA from 1 species